UAAUUUGUGCCAAACUUCCUUCGCAGUCU
rnacentral:sRNA from 1 species